CCUUGAAAACUGAAACUCUGUUACGAAAUGUAAUUCUGUUAAACCUCAUAGGGCAAUGAACUGUACAUUUUCUCAGACAAACUGUAGAUGAAGAGAAUAACAAAAAUAUUUUGUAUACCAUCAACAGGUAAGAAGUGGCAUCGAGCUAAACUGACAUAAUAGAAGGAGAAUAUAGACCAGCAUUGAUUGUUACUAGUCAAUGCACAUAGCUAGAUAUCGAUGUUCUUCUUCUGGUUGUUGCUUAUUAAUUGUUUGGCACUCAUCUUGCCCCAACUAACUUUCAGUGAUCCGUACUCAUGUCAGUAUGGCACUGAUUUAUCUCUAGACAUGGUUCUGUCUUACUGUUAUAGGCAAAUGUUAGUAAACAAAAUAGUGUGUUCCUUUCAGAAGAGUACAAAAGAAUUCAUGUUGCUGUAAAGAAAUAAGGUGGACCAUCAAAUAAAACAUUGUUUCAGAAUUUGUGGUUUUGGAAUGAUUAUUCGGUUUUUUCUUAUGAGACCUGGGUAACAAGAUAAAAGUUCCUUACAUGAUGGAACGCUGAUGGAGAGUCAAUGGAAUGUCUGAAGAGAGUUAUCCCCUAUGAGCACAUGGACAUUGCAUAAUCAGUCUUAUCAUGGGAAUAAUUUGCCUGCCUAAAGAAGGCGAAGCAAUCAGCCAAGCAAUGAUACUGGAGUCCAGUAAAGAGAAAUCUUCCAGUGACAAUCAAGAGUUGAAUCGUAGACAUUCCAAUGGAGACAAGUCAUCCAACCAUCCAGCGGAAGUGUAGACAAUUUAAAGAAACCAGCAAUUGAUCCGGGCAAUAAUAGCGCAUCAGUUUCAUCUAGUUCUAUACAUAAGAAGAUCACUGCCUGCUGGUCCAGAUUAUAUGGUCAUGAAGCUCGGCGUUGACAAGAGCAUCACCCUGUAGCUAUGCGUCCUUCUCUAACAAACACUCAAAGCACUACCAUGCCGGGCUAUGGGUACUGCCUCAUCGACCAAGGAUCUACAGCGACGGCGGGACCACCGACCCCAUGGAGGCAGCACCAAAACCCUAGCCGCUACUGCUCUCCCCUGAGUCCCCUCCUCAUCUCCUUCCUCGUGCGAUGCUCUGCUUCAUCUUUUCUCAAGCCUCCACCAGUCAAAUUCGACCGGGAAAAAGAAACACCGACAUGCAUAUUAUCGGAUGUUCAAGCUGGAGGAUGUGGCGAUGGAAUAUGGAUCAAUGAGAUGAAGAAAGGUGUUGAUGUCAAGUACCAGAAUGAUGGAAGGAUCUUGUGGUUAUCUAGUUUCCCGCCAGCAGGAUUCAAUGUAGAUGAUGUGCCUCUAGGGCAAAUUCUAGAAAUGAAAGCGACCCAUUUUUGCUCUCAAACAAUGAACAUAUUUUGUUCCCUAUUUAAUAAGUUAAAUUAGUUUAUGGGAAAUUUUGAUGUGAAAAUUAUUGAAUGUGUGUUAUUAUUGUUUGGUUUUGGUUUA